AAAGUCACACUCUUCAAUGAAAAAUCUAAUCAAAAUUGAUGCUCAACCAACCAAUCUAUUCCCAAAAUUAAAUCGAAUUCAUUAAAAGGAAGAUCCAUAAAAUUGACAAGAAACACCUCUCCAUGAACCUCUAUAGGGCAUCUUUUAUAAAUUCUAUUCACAAGUGUUGAGGAUUCUAAGGGACUAACUAUAGUUACAGUGGUUUC
rnacentral:lncRNA from 1 species